rnacentral:rRNA from 1 species
AGAGUUUGAUCCUGGCUCAGGACGAACGCUGGCGGCGUGCCUAAUACAUGCAAGUAGAACGCUGAAGAGAGGAGCUUGCUCUUCUUGGAUGAGUUGCGAACGGGUGAGUAACGCGUAGGUAACCUGCCUUGUAGCGGGGGAUAACUAUUGGAAACGAUAGCUAAUACCGCAUAACAAUGGAUGACACAUGUCAUUUAUUUGAAAGGGGCAAUUGCUCCACUACAAGAUGGACCUGCGUUGUAUUAGCUAGUAGGUGAGGUAACGGCUCACCUAGGCGGCGAUACAUAGCCGACCUGAGAGGGUGAUCGGCCACACUGGGACUGAGACACGGCCCAGACUCCUACGGGAGGCAGCAGUAGGGAAUCUUCGGCAAUGGGGGCAACCCUGACCGAGCAACGCCGCGUGAGUGAAGAAGGUUUUCGGAUCGUAAAGCUCUGUUGUAAGUCAAGAACGAGUGUGAGAGUGGAAAGUUCACACUGUGACGGUAGCUUACCAGAAAGGGACGGCUAACUAC